rnacentral:ncRNA from 2 species
CUUUCAGUCAGAUGUUUGC